rnacentral:rRNA from 1 species
GACGAACGCUGGCGGCGUACCUAAUACAUGCAAGUCGAGCGGACUUAAAAAGCUUGCUUUUUAAGUUAGCGGCGGACGGGUGAGUAACACGUGGGCAACCUGCCUGUAAGACUGGGAUAACUUCGGGAAACCGGAGCUAAUACCGGAUAAUCCUUUUCUACUCAUGUAGAAAAGCUGAAAGACGGUUUACGCUGUCACUUACAGAUGGGCCCGCGGCGCAUUAGCUAGUUGGUGAGGUAACGGCUCACCAAGGCGACGAUGCGUAGCCGACCUGAGAGGGUGAUCGGCCACACUGGGACUGAGACACGGCCCAGACUCCUACGGGAGGCAGCAGUAGGGAAUCUUCCGCAAUGGACGAAAGUCUGACGGAGCAACGCCGCGUGAGUGAUGAAGGUUUUCGGAUCGUAAAACUCUGUUGUUAGGGAAGAACAAGUACGAGAGUAACUGCUCGUACCUUGACGGUACCUAACCAGAAAGCCACGGCUAACUACGU